rnacentral:lncRNA from 10 species
AUAAUGACUGCAGCUCCACAUUAUCCCCCAAGUGACAGGACGGUCUCCAUUGUCAACGGUCAAUAUCAGAGGAACAGGGCUUGAUUUCAUAAAGGAAGCAACUGGAUUUUCUUUAGAGAUGCAAAUGGAAACGUUAGGUUUGGCAUGUUCCAGGGAUUUCAUUUGCUUAACUGAAAAGGGCAUUUCAUCACCCUAAGCACAGUUCUUAGAGUUACAUUCAGGAGGGAGGAAUGUAACCUGACUGCUUUGCUCUCAGGCAUUCAUCGCAUUCUGAACCAUGGGAUGCUGGGCAAAAUCAAUGCCUUUGGUCUUGCUAUUAGUUGCUCUUGUGCUUCCCAGAGAAAUCUUGGCGCCCUGAGUUGACAUCUUUGCUGGAGACUGACAGCUGGAAUGAGAUGUUCAAGUGAAGAAGAUGAAGAGAAACACGUCUCUUUAAGGGUUUCACCUCUGUCACCCUAGGCUGGAUGCAGUGGCACAAUCAUGGUUUACCGCAGCAUCAAUCUUCCAGAAUCAUGUGAUCCUCCCACCUCAGCUUCCCAAGUAGCUGGAACUACAGGCGCCUGCCACCAUGCGUGGCUAAUUUUUGUAUUUUUUGUAGAGACAAGAAUUUUGCCAUGUUGCUCAGGCUGGUCUCGAAUUCUUGGGCUUAAGCCAUCCACCUGCCUUGGCCUCCCAAAGUGUUAGGAUUACAGGCGUGGGCCAUCGCGCCUGGCCUAAAUUGUCUUUUUUCAAUAGUCUCCUGAUUAUGAGGUUGUGUUUUGUCUGACCAAUGUCAAGUACAGAGCCUGGCACCAUGUAGACAUCUACUAAGUAUUAUCUGCUAUUUUUUUUUUAUCUUGAAUGAAUAAUGGGGAAGUUUCAGACUAAAGAAAGAAACAUAAUAAAAAAUCAGCCUGUACCAGUGGAGUAGUUCAAACUUUUUAGCUUUAAACUAGAUAAUGCAGUGCCUUUCUACUACAUAAAAUGCUCAACAAAAACCCAU